rnacentral:rRNA from 1 species
GAUGAACGCUAGCUACAGGCUUAACACAUGCAAGUCGAGGGGCAGCAGGACGAUAGCUUGCUAUUGUCGCUGGCGACCGGCGCACGGGUGAGUAACGCGUAUCCAACCUUCCCCUUACUAGAGGAUAGCCCGGCGAAAGUCGGAUUAAUACUCUAUGUUCUCCUUUGAUGGCAUCAGAUGAGGAGCAAAGAUUCAUCGGUAAGGGAUGGGGAUGCGUCUGAUUAGCUUGCCGGCGGGGUAACGGCCCACCGGGGCAACGAUCAGUAGGGGUUCUGAGAGGAAGGUCCCCCACAUUGGUACUGAGACACGGACCAAACUCC